AUGGGGUGACUGCGUACCUUUUGUAUAAUGGGUCAGCGACUUAUAUUCUGUAGCGAGGUUAACCGUAUAGGGGAGCCGUAGGGAAACCGAGUCUUAACUGGGCGAAUGAGUUGCAGGGUAUAGACCCGAAACCCGGUGAUCUAUCCAUGGGCAGGUUGAAGGUUGGGUAACACUAACUGGAGGACCGAACCGACUAAUGUUGAAAAAUUAGCGGAUGACUUGUGGAUGGGGGUGAAAGGCCAAUCAAACCGGGAGAUAGCUGGUUCUCCCCGAAAGCUAUUUAGGUAGCGCCUCGUGAACUCAUCUUCGGGGGUAGAGCACUGUUUCGACUAGGGGGUCAUCCCGACUUACCAACUCGAUGCAAACUGCGAAUACCGAAGAAUGUUAUCACGGGAGACACACGGCGGGUGCUAACGUCCGUCGUGAAGAGGGAAACAACCCAGACCGCCAGCUAAGGUCCCAAAGUCAUGGUUAAGUGGGAAACGAAGUGGGAAGGCUCAGACAGCCAGGAUGUUGGCUUAGAAGCAGCCAUCAUUUAAAGAAAGCGUAAUAGCUCACUGGUCGAGUCGGCCCGCGCGGAAGAUGUAACGGGGCUAAACCAUGCACCGAAGCUGCGGCAGCGACACAUAGUGUUGUUGGGUAGGGGAGCGUUCUGUAAGCCUGCGAAGGUGUACUGUGAGGUAUGCUGGAGGUAUCAGAAGUGCGAAUGCUGACAUAAGUAACGAUAAUGCGGGUGAAAAACCCGCACGCCGGAAGACCAAGGGUUCCUGUCCAACGUUAAUCGGGGCAGGGUGAGUCGACCCCUAAGGCGAGGCUGAAAAGCGUAGUCGAUGGGAAACGGGUUAAUAUUCCCGUACUGGUGGUAACUGCGAUGGGGGAACGGAGAAGGCUAGGUUGUCCGGGCGACGGUCGUCCCGGUUCAAGCAGGUAGGCAGAGUGAUUAGGCAAAUCCGGUCACUUAAUGCUGAGAUGUGAUGACGAACCACCAAGGUGGUGAAGCAAUUGAUGCCCCGCUUCCAGGAAAAGCCUCUAAGCUUCAGGUUACCAACAAUCGUACCCCAAACCGACACAGGUGGUCAGGUAGAGAAUACUCAGGCGCUUGAGAGAACUCGGGUGAAGGAACUAGGCAAAAUGGUGCCGUAACUUCGGGAGAAGGCACGCUGGCGGUAGGUAAAGUCCCUUGCGGACGGCGCUGAAGCCAGUCGAAGAUACCAGCUGGCUGCAACUGUUUAUUAAAAACACAGCACUGUGCAAACACGAAAGUGGACGUAUACGGUGUGACGCCUGCCCGGUGCUGGAAGGUUAAUUGAUGGGGUUAGCGUAAGCGAAGCUCCUGAUCGAAGCCCCAGUAAACGGCGGCCGUAACUAUAACGGUCCUAAGGUAGCGAAAUUCCUUGUCGGGUAAGUUCCGACCUGCACGAAUGGCGUAAUGAUGGCCAGGCUGUCUCCACCCGAGACUCAGUGAAAUUGAACUCGCUGUGAAGAUGCAGUGUACCCGCGGCAAGACGGAAAGACCCCGUGAACCUUUACUAUAGCUUGACACUGAACAUUGAGCCUUGAUGUGUAGGAUAGGUGGGAGGCUUUGAAGUGUGGACGCCAGUCUGCAUGGAGCCAACCUUGAAAUACCACCCUUUAACGUUUGAUGUUCUAACCUAGGCCCAUAAACUGGGUCGGGGACCGUGUCUGGUGGGUAGUUUGACUGGGGCGGUCUCCUCCUAAAGAGUAACGGAGGAGCACGAAGGUUGGCUAAGCAUGGUCGGACAUCAUGCGGUUAGUGCAAAGGCAUAAGCCAGCUUGACUGCGAGAGUGACGGCUCGAGCAGGUACGAAAGUAGGUCUUAGUGAUCCGGUGGUUCUGAAUGGAAGGGCCAUCGCUCAACGGAUAAAAGGUACUCCGGGGAUAACAGGCUGAUACCGCCCAAGAGUUCAUAUCGACGGCGGUGUUUGGCACCUCGAUGUCGGCUCAUCACAUCCUGGGGCUGAAGUAGGUCCCAAGGGUAUGGCUGUUCGCCAUUUAAAGUGGUACGCGAGCUGGGUUUAGAACGUCGUGAGACAGUUCGGUCCCUAUCUGCCGUGGGCGUUGGAAGAUUGAGAGGGGUUGCUCCUAGUACGAGAGGACCGGAGUGAACGCACCACUGGUGUUCGGGUUGUCAUGCCAAUGGCAUUGCCCGGUAGCUAAGUGCGGAAGAGAUAACCGCUGAAAGCAUCUAAGCGGGAAACUUGCCUCGAGAUGAGUCUUCCCUGUCGCUUUAAGCGACCUAAAGGAACGUUUAAGACUAAGACGUUGAUAGGCUGGGUGUGUAAGCGUAGCGAUACGUUGAGCUAACCAGUACUAAUGAACCGUGAGGCUUAACCUG
rnacentral:rRNA from 1 species